rnacentral:rRNA from 1 species
ACGGCUCAGUAACACGUGGAUAACCUGCCCAAGGGGUCCGGGAUAACCCCGGGAAACUGGGGAUAAUACCGGAUGGAUCACUUAUGCUGGAAUGCUUGGUGGUCGAAAGGUGACGCCCUUGGAUGGGUCUGCGGCGGAUUAGGUUGACGCCGGUGUAACGUACCGGCGUGCCUGUAAUCCGUACGGGUUGUGGGAGCAAGAGCCCGGAGAUGGAUUCUGAGACACGAAUCCAGGCCCUACGGGGCGCAGCAGGCGCGAAAACUCUACAAUGCAGGCAACUGCGAUAGGGGGACAUCGAGUGGCAUCCACCUUGGGUGCCUGUCCCACCGUCUAAAAAACGGUGGUUAGCAAGGGCCGGGCAAGACCGGUGCCAGCCGCCGCGGUAAUACCGGCGGCUCGAGUGGUGGCCGAUAUUAUUGAGUCUAAAGGGUCCGUAGCCGGCUUUGCAAGUCCCCUGGGAAAUCCAGCGGCUUAACCGUUGGGCUUUCAUGGGAUACUACAUUGCUUGGGACUGGGAGAGGUAGGAGGUACUCGGGGGGUAGGGGUGAAAUCCUGUAAUCCCCCGGGGACCACCGGUGGCGAAGGCGUCCUACCAGAACAGGUCCGACGGUGAGGGACGAAGGCUAGGGGCACGAACCGGAUUAGAUACCCGGGUAGUCCUAGCCGUAAACGAUGCCCGCUAGGUGUCACGGCGGUCGUGAAUCGCCGUGGUGCCGUAGGGAAGCCGCGAAGCGGGCCACUUGGGAAGUACGGCCGCAAGGCUGAAACUUAAAGGAAUUGGCGGGGGAGCAC